rnacentral:rRNA from 1 species
GAUGAACGCUGGCGGCGUGCCUAAUACAUGCAAGUCGAGCGAACAGACGAGGAGCUUGCUCCUCUGACGUUAGCGGCGGGCGGGUGAGUAACACGUGGAUACCCUACCUAUCAGACUGGGAUAACUUCGGGAAACCGGAGCUAAUACCGGAUAAUAUAUUGAACCGCAUGGUUCAAUAGUGAAAGACGGUUUUGCUGUCACGUAUAGAGGGAUCCGCGCUGCAUUAGCUAGUUGGUACGGUAACGGCUUACCAAGGCAACGAUGCGUAGCCGAGCGGAGAGAGGGAUCGCCCACACGGGAACUGAGACACGGUCCAGACGCCUACGGGACGCAGCAGUAGGGAAUCUGAGGCAAUGGUCGAAAGCCUGACGGAGCAACGCCGCGUGAGUGAUGAAGGCCUUCGGAUCGGAAAACUCUGUUAUUAGGGAAGAACAAAUGUGUAAGUAACUAUGCACGUCUUGACGGUACUUAAUCAGAAAGCAACAGCUAACUACGUG